UGGGGAAUCUUCCGCAAUGGACGAAAGUCUGACGGAGCAACGCCGCGUGAGUGAAGAAGGUUUUCGGAUCGUAAAACUCUGUCUUUUGGGGCGAACGUGAGUAUGGUAAAUAAUCAUAGUCAGUGACGGUACCAAAGGAGGAAGCCACGGCUAACUACGUGCCAGCAGCCGCGGUAAUACGUAGGUGGCAAGCGUUGUCCGGAAUUAUUGGGCGUAAAGAGCGCGUAGGCGGGAUAGUCAGUCUGUUGUAAAGUGCGGGGCUCAACCCGUGAUCGCAAUGGAAACAGCUAUUCUUGAGUGCAGGAGAGGAAAGUGGAAUUCCCAGUGUAGCGGUGAAAUGCGUAGAUAUUGGGAGGAACACCAGUGGCGAAGGCGACUUUCUGGACUGUGUCUGACGCUGAGGCGCGAAAGCCAGGGGAGGCGAACCGGGGAUUUAGAUACCCCCGGUAGUCCUGGCCGUAAAA
rnacentral:rRNA from 1 species